rnacentral:rRNA from 1 species
UACGGAGGGGGCUAGCGUUGUUCGGAAUUACUGGGCGUAAAGCGUGCGUAGGCGGCUAUUCAAGUCAGAGGUGAAAGCCCGGGGCUCAACCCCGGAACGGCCUUUGAAACUAGAUAGCUAGAGUCCUGGAGAGGUUAGUGGAAUUCCGAGUGUAGAGGUGAAAUUCGUAGAUAUUCGGAAGAACACCAGUGGCGAAGGCGACUAACUGGACAAGUACUGACGCUGAGGUACGAAAGCGUGGGGAGCAGACAGG